CAUGUCAAAAACCAACACAAUGGAUUUUCAGACCCUUUAUUUGACAAAUGUGCUCAGGAUUCCAACAUAAAACCAUGCAAAUGGCUAAAUGAAGAUAAAAAAUCUUAAACAAUUCUUGUUGCUAUCAAAAGAAAUAUUCUCUGUAUAAUAAUCUUUUAUUCAUUGCCUUGUCUGUACAUUCUAUAUCAUACAAUAAGAUGUUUGCAGCUUUAAGCUUUAACUGGAGUUUCCCAAGUUAAAGUGCAUAAUUCAAAAUUUAAAAAUGGUGAAGCUGUUGUAAGAAAUGUAAAAGUUGCUCAGGAUUUUGGGUAUGUUGAAGAUAUAUAUCAAGUGUUGUGCUCUGCACUCAUUGAUGAGGAAACA